rnacentral:rRNA from 1 species
AUUGAACGCUGGCGGCAUGCCUUACACAUGCAAGUCGAACGGCAGCACGGACUUCGGUCUGGUGGCGAGUGGCGAACGGGUGAGUAAUACAUCGGAACGCGCCCAGUCGUGGGGGAUAACGUAGCGAAAGCUACGCUAAUACCGCAUACGAUCUAAGGAUGAAAGCGGGGGACCGUAAGGCCUCGCGCGAUUGGAGCGGCCGAUGGCAGAUUAGGUAGUUGGUGGGGUAAAGGCUCACCAAGCCGACGGUCUGUAGCUGGUCUGAGAGGACGACCAGCCACACUGGGACUGAGACACGGCCCAGACUCCUACGGGAGGCAGCAGUGGGGAAUUUUGGACAAUGGGCGCAAGCCUGAUCCAGCCAUUCCGCGUGCAGGAUGAAGGCCCUCGGGUUGUAAACUGCUUUUGUACGGAACGAAAAGGCUCUGGUUAAUACCUGGGGCUCAUGACGGUACCGUAAGAAUAAGCACCGGCUAACUACGUGCCAGCAGCCGCGGUAA